rnacentral:tRNA from 1 species
GCCCAGGUAGCUCAGUCCGGGAGAGCGUCAGACUGAAGAUCUGAACGUCCCCGGUUCGAAUCCGGGUCUGGGCA